rnacentral:misc_RNA from 1 species
UCCAGCCACCCAUCUGCUCUCUCUUUAGGAUAUCCGCCAUCGCUUCCUGCAUUCGGCACAGAUGCUAGCAACCCGAAAUUCCCUCUGCGGUUAAAUGAACCCCUUCUCUGUUCUCUUUCUACGUCCAAAAAUACACUACGCGUAAAGCUCUCACUUCCGGCAAGUCCCACACUGACCUUUGCAGGAUGGGAUUGUAAGCCAUAAGCUUCUUUUGUUAAUUUGAACACCAAGUAAGCUGUAUACAUUGCGGCUGGCGACAACAUUUGGGUAUUAAUUUUGCCACAGAUUUCAAGCCAACAUACACUGAUAAGCUCAGCCACUUCUUUAAAUCUGGAAUCCGGGUCGGAUACCCAUCUCCAAUAAGUAGGAGUAUCGCCCCAGACAAUGGUGAGGUCCCUUGCAGAAAGCAUGUAACAUUUCUUCCCAGUCCAUUUGUCCAACGUAAAACUCUUUUUGCCAUCGUCGAUGAGGAUUGGGUUUUGGCAGAGUCUGAAAUAGAGUUGUUUCUUGGAAGAGGAAGAAGCCGAUAGAGAUUGAUGAUCAAGGGAGCGGGAGAUAAUUGACUGAAAAUCCGUUGGCAGGAAUCUCUCCCAAACGGUGUCGGAUUCAGCGGCAUUAUUGAACAAAGAAGAGACGACGNNCGGACAAAGUACAGGCAUCGUAAGGACUUGUAAACGACAGGACGUUUGAUAUGCAACCUUCAGGCAACGCCGAGAUGCCUGUUCCUUGGCUAGCGUCCAUUGUAA